AGGGACACAGGCGCAGGCUCCCGCGUGCUCGCCGGCUGUGUUGUUAAACAUCUUCAUGCACCAGCCCUCCCGGCAGGCCCGGGCGGGCAGAGCAGCGGAGGAGUGCUCGGGUUCAGACCGAGUCAGGGUCAGCCUGCUGGUCCUCAACGCCGUUCCGGGUUAGUUCAGGUUGAUUUUCCUCUCUGAGGGCAAGGCCACCUCUAAAGUUGGGAGGGACAGGGGCGGGGACGAGGCUCGGGCUGUGCUGGGCGGUUCCUCUGUAUCUUGAGACGCUGCAUUUCCCCGCCUGCUGCAGCUCCUCCCAGAACCGCCAGCAAGAAACCGAGAGCUGAGCUGGCCAAGGCCAUCAGGGCCGUCCACUGUGGGUGGGAGACGCAGCCUUGCCACAUGGAAGAUAAACGAGGCCGAGCAGGCUCUCUCCCCUCCCCUCCCCUCCCCUCCUCUCCUGGUAUACCCCGGCUUCCCCCUUGCCCUCAGCCCUGCGUCCCGGGCAUGGCUUCCAUCUCCAACAGAACACAAGGUCGGAAGCCCUUCCCCCGAUUUGAGGUUAAUGGCACUUCGGUGUUUAGGCUCCUUCUGGCUUUGGCCCAAGCUUGGCAGGUGGGCCUCCCGCCUUGCUCUUCUUGGGGCCUGACAGGCUCACCGGCAUUGCAGCUCCGUCAGGGACAGAGCCCACCAUCUCCAGAAAGCCAGCCCCUACCUGAGAGCUGCAGCCCAGCAGCACGCGAGGACCCUGCAUUUCUUUCCCGCGGUUGAGGGUGAGGGAGUGAGUGUUCAAGGAGGAAGGCCGCCCUCGCCCCCUAGAGCCCUGCCUUCCUCUACACGCCCACGCGAAUUCCUAGGCGUACGGGUUUGUUUGGAUGGUGGAGGGAGACAGGGCCCGUCAGGAGGCACUCUUGGGGAAUCGCGCAGCCAUACAACUUUAGAGCUGGCCUUGGCUGGGAGAGGAAAAUCCAUCUGAACUCACCCGGAAUGGUUCCGAGGACCAGCGCGCUGACCCUGACUCUGUUAGUGCCUGAGCCCUCCUCCGCCGUUCCGCCGGCCGCGGCGUGUGGGGAGGGCCGGAACCUGAGGACCUGCAUGAAGACAUUUAAGAACACUGCUACGGUGCAUACAAAAGCCUGCGCCUGUGUCCCAGGGCUCUGGAGGCCUUACAAUGCCUGUGACCUGCGUCAGACUGACGGCUUCAUCCAACAGAGCAGGGGAGCACCAGAGGAGGGAACCUGUGUGCAAACACUGCAUUCCUGGGGCGCACGGUCUCGGGGCCGGCUGCACACACCACGCUCAGAACUACUCAUUGUCAUGGGGUCACUGUGUCUCCCAAAUGCAUAUGUUGACGUCCUAACUCCCAGCGCCCCCAAGGUGGCUGCAUUUCUACAUAGAAACUUUAAAGAGAUGAUUAAGGUAAAAUGAGGUCAUUGGGGUGGCCCCGAUUUGCUAGGUCUGGUGUCUUAAUAAGGAGACAAGGACACAGACAUGUACAGAGGGACGGCCCCGUGAGGACACAGGGAGAGGACACCAUCUGCAAGCCCAGAAGAGAGGCCUCGGAAGGAACCGGCCUGGCCACCCCUUGACCUUGGACACCAGCCUCCAGCACGCUGAGGAUGAGCUGCUGUCAUUUCAGCUGCCUUGGCUUCGGUGCUUCUCCAGGGCAGCCCUGCUAACUCAUGCUCACGGCUAGUUCUGGGGUUGGCAGAUCCUGCGGAUACCUGUAGACACAGGCAUGUGUUCAGGCUUGAGCUGGGUGGGGUGAGGGGUGAGCAGCCAUAGAAGGAAAAGGCAAUCCUCUGGACACACAAACUGUGUUUUCUCUCAAACCCAAACACUCCUACAAGAAGGACAGUCGGUAUUAGGAUAAAGGCCUCACCACAUCCCCCCUGGUUUUCCUCACAGCAAGCUCGAGAUGUGGGAACCGCUGCACCCUCCACAUCAGGGAACGGACUGAGGGAGGAGGUGACUGUCAUCCUGGGGCCUCACGUGGCGCAGGGCCGGGGCUGAGCCUCCCGUUGUGGGGACCUGGACCCAGGGCCUCUCUUGGGGUCUAAAACUUUUGAGGCAAAGGAGAUGCAGAGAUGCCCAUGCCGAGACCCAACAGGCCACAGAGGACUGACUGGUGCUCAGAAUUUGAUCUCAGAGAUCCCGGUGACUCUGGACCUGAGGUUGCGUGAGAUCCCCUCCCCUGUGCCAGGUCUCACUGGUGCAGUCAUCGUUUAACUUCUGGGAUCUUUACAGUAUCAGGAAAUAACUACGGAAGAUAGUCUGAAUUGUUGGGCAGCAGAAAACCACCAAAGUUAAGUUAAAAACAAAGAAGAAAAUCACUCUCAGAAAUGCAUUGUGAACUCUCCACCAUACCCAGUACCGUCUAACAUUUUGGCCUGAAUGGUUGAUGUUGGUGAUUUACAGUCCAAGCACCCAUCAGCUGCCAAGGGAGCCCUAGAGGGGACUGCAGUCCCCACGGCCUGCUUACAAAGCAGGGAAACCGAGGGCCCCACGCGGGGGCUUGGGAACAACCCAUGACGGAGCCCCUCCUCCGCGGUCGUCUCUCAGGCCUAGGCCUGCUGGGCCUGGACUGUUCCCUCUGCUCUGCUUCUCCAAGUCUCCCGCCUCACACCUGCCUCGGCGGGUGCACAGGUGGUCUCAGAGCUGACGUCUGACCACACCUCUCCCGGGGGCGUUUCUGUCCCUGCUCACAGGUGCAUGAGGAUCGGACUCCGCCUCCCAUCUUGGUUUCGAGUGAAGUGACGGCUGAGCCAAGAGCUUGCUUUCAGCUUUAGUAUUUCCGCAAUGAAAAGACAAGAGAAAGCUCUGUGCUCUCCCAGGGCGUCCGCUGGGUGGGAGCCUGUGGCUCCAGCUGCUCAAAGACGAGCCUUCAACUUGAAAGUUCUGCAGCCUGGAAAUUGGGAGAAUGUUCCCUCUGGAAAAUUUCCUCUCACCACGUUUUCCUUCCAUUUCUUUUGUCUCCAUAUAGCAGUCCAGGAAACCGGAGAAAACGGGGCAAAGAAAAAUAAAAUAAAAUGAACCCAA
ensembl:lncRNA novel transcript